UCCCUUUUUUUUCGCCGAAUAAUUCGGCUCACCGAAUAAUACGCGAACACAUAUUUUUACUCAAAAAAUCCCCCUUUUUUCCGAAUUUUUUGGAAAAAAUUCGAAAAUAGCCGUUUAAUUCGGGUUUUGAAAAAUUCGCGAAUAAUUCGCGAAUAAUUCGCGAAUAAUUCGCGAAUGAACUAACUAUGUUCAAAACCUCUUGCUCUGAUACAAUGUUAAAUUAUGUGAAACAACCGUUAUUCUCCAAUAGCUUAAUUUAUUAAAGAACGGUGGUUUAAUUUAUUCAUUCAGCACUUUUGCUUUGAUCAGUCCAACAGUUGAAAAUUCAAGUCUUGAACCUCUUUGUAAUUUUUAUCUUCGAGAUGGGUUUUUACAGCUGGGGCAGCAUAGCCCCCAUUUUCCGCUUUGGCUGAUACAUGAUAGACCACUUUGUGUUUUCAGUAUGGUUAAUUUUAUUCUACUUUACCACUUCUGCUGUGUGUGUGAACAUUAAAAGAAGGGUAUAAACUUUUUAUCUUGAACCUCUUUGUAAUUUUUAUCUUCGGGAUGGGUUUUUACAGCUGGGGCAGCGCAGCCCCAUUUUUUCCGCUUUGGCUGAUACAUGAUAGACCACUUUGUGUUUUCAGUAUGGUUAAUUUUAUUCUAUUUUACCACUUCUGUUGUGUGUGUGAACAUUAAAAGAAGGGUAUAAACUUUUUAAAAAUGAGCAAAUGGAGUGGCUUUGCUCGCGGUCAUAUGCCUGAUUAUCCUGAUGCUACCUGUUUAAACAAAAGUAUGUCUGGCCGGAAUGGCAUUGAGACAAUCAUUGUUGUCAUGCUUGUUUGCAAAUUAUAAUUUGAUUCUACCUCUAGUCAAAUUAUGUGGACCACGAAAUGUCAAACUAACGAGCAUAUUGCGUGUUUCAAAGACAUUAUGGUUUUAGUUCAGGUAAGUUUAAUUGAUUGAUUUUCUCUUUAUGUUUCUUCUACCUUCUUUAUUUGAUGAUCUCUGAUGCUCCAUCCACCUUGUGAGUACCUCAAAUGUCUUUGGUUUCAUUAUUUCGUGAAUAGUACAUACAAUGAUAAGAAACACAAUUUACUGAUUAAGAUUAUACAAUUUUGUGCUCGCCGUUGAGGAGGUUCGCUGUGAUUGUUUAGAACUUUUUUCUAGGAUUUUUUUUAAUUAUAUUAUUAUAGUCCGACUUCUCAAAGAGUAGUUAUCGUUAUUGCUUUCAUUCCAUGAACUUCAUAUCAACUUACUGACUCACUUGCAUAGUUGUUUAACUCUUAUAAUUUGUAUUUGUGCAUGCAAUUCCGAAGGUACUAUGAUGUAUUCCUAAAGAGAUACCAGAAGCUCGCCACGGAGAAUAACUGGAAUCAACCUCUACUCGGUAAUGUUGAUUCUCAAUUUUUGUUUUUCUUAUGUUAAAUUUGCCUAAAACUAUGCUGUCCCAUGUCUUCAUCCGCCGCCCUUCUGCUUUUCAGAAGUCAACAGAAGCUACACUACAAUCUGAUAACGAGGCACCGGAUAAAUUUCCUGAUAAUGUUUUGUAGUUUUAUACUUCCAUUACGCAUCUGUGACACUUAUUAAUGAUAUAGUUACUAAGUUGUCUGAUGCAUGCAGAUGCGCUUGCGUACUCGGUGCAAAUAAUGGAGGAGGGCGUGAUCCCCGUCACCCCCUGCGAUGUUCCUAUCGAUGCUCUCGUAUCUGCCACCGGCGUAAUUCCUAUCAGUCCUUCUGCCUUGGAGAAGAUGUGAUUCUCUCUCUCUCUCUCUUUGUCUCUCUCUGCCCCCGUCUAAGUCCCCUAUUUAUGACUGUUUUACUCGACAGAUUCACCAUGUACGCUAAACUUGACAUCAAAGUAUCCUUCUGUCGGCUUAACAUUCAGUUGAUAGCCAACUAUACAAGAUCUAACUGUAUCAAUUACAACUUCCAGUUCUUUCGUCUCGAUUUUGGUUUACUUGUACUUUUUGUUAGUGAUGAUCUUUCUGUAGUGCUCUAAUGUCGCACUCCGAAUGCUAAAUGUACAAUUUGUAAUAAUUUUACGCCUGUCUUGAACCUUUGAAUUUUUGCAAUUGAAUAUCUGACGUCCAUCAAUCUGCUGACGCAAAUCGCCACAUGAAAGAGCCAGUUAUGUCUGCCAUGUUAGCACUAAAUUUUGCUGCAGGGUAAUGCUGUUGAAUACUAAACCAAACUUGCCCUAAUCCUAAAUUCACAUGUCAAACUUAUAUUAGGAUCUAAACUUGAACUUAAGAAAUUAACAUUUUAAUUUUAGAUUCAUAAUUCAAAUUUAAAUAUAAAAUAAUAAUUUAAAAGUAAAUAAUAAUUAAUAUUUGAAUUUAAAUAAUUAUUUGUGAAAAAAUGUUUUUUUUGAAAAUUCCUUUCAGAAUCAAAGUUAUUCCCACCGUCGUGGGAGGAAUCAAUUGGGAGGGAUUCGUUUUCCAUCGGAAUAAAUAUUGGAAGGCUAAAAUAGGAAAAAAAAAAUUAUAAAUAUUCAAAUUUUCCACUCUCUUUGAUUUUUAAAAGUAUAUAUUUUAUCACGUCAAAAUUUUAAAUUGAUACAUUUAGCUUCCGUUCAUUUCAUAUUAAUUUAUAUCAAAAUAUCUUUAAAAAUAACAGAAAUAUAUUAAAAAAAAUUAUGGAACAAGUAAAUACUAUUUAGUCACUUUGUUCUCUCCAUUAACGUCAUAACUCUUUGAAUAUAUUUUUAAAAUAUUAAGUGGACAAUAUAAAAAUCUUUAAAAGUCGAAAAAAGAGUAAAAAGUUAGAUAUUUAUGAAAAAAUUUUCUGCAUUAGAGUCCAAUUGGAACGAGAAUCACUCAAAUCAAAUACCAACAAUAAAAAUUAAUUAUUUUAUCCUACUCUUUUGUCAUCAGAUUCUGAGUUCAAAUACUACACACACACCCACCCCAUAAAAAAAACACCCCAGCAAAAGACAAUAUUGUAACGUACCAUUUUCACUAUCGCAUCGUCGCCUAUCAUGGUACUGUGGUGAAAGAUCACAAGUAUGUGAGGUUGCAGGUAUGUAGACAAAUAGGAACAGCUAUUCCUGGGGUUUCUUUUACAUUUAGACCCCUGACAAAUUUUUAUUUUAAAAUUAGCCCUGUCAAAAUUUAAUUUGCAAAAAUGGUCCUGGGCCUGCCACGCAGGCGCCACGUCAGCGCCACGUGGGCAGGGACAAACACGGUGAAUGGUUCACCGUGUUUAGUACGUAUUUUUUGUAUAUUGAAAAGAGGAAUAGGGAGUAGGGAUGUCAAUAUGUAUGGAUAUCCGAAAUAUUAUCUGAAUCCAAAGUCCAAACCCGAAUAAAUUAUAUUUAUAUAUAUAUNAUAUAUAUAUAUAUAUAUAUAUAUAUAUAUAUAUAUAUAUAUAUAUAUAUAUAUACAUAAUUUAUUUUUAUUUAUUUAUACAAUAUAUAAAAUAUUUAAUAAUUUUUAUUUCAUAGAUCUUCAUCCAACGGUAUAGAUUUUUAAAACCCGCUGGGUUCAGGUUCGGGUUUCGAGUUUUUGGUCGGAUAUGGAUAUGGGUAUGAAUUUUUAAAAUCCGUCGGGUUCGGUUCCGGGUUUGAAUUUUAAUUUGAUUUUCGGGUUCGGGUACGGAUUUUUGAAAAAGAGAAGAAAAGGAAUACAAAUUUCCUAUUCCUCUUUUCAAUAUACAAAAAAUACGUAUUAAACACGGUGAACCAUUCACCGUGUUUAGACACGGUGAAUGGUUCACCAUGUUUAACUUUACUACCGCCCCCAGCCCUACUCGCGUGGUGCUGACGUGGCGCCUGCGUCGCAGGUCUAUGGCCAUUUUUGCAAAUUAAAUUUUGACAGGGCUAUUUUUAAAAUAAAAAUUUGCUAAGGGGCUAAAUGCAAAAAAAGCCCGCUAUUCCUGCUGUCUCCUUUGGAAUCAUUGGUGUGCAAUAAAUUCCUACUGUAAUUACCAUUUUACCGUUUGGCUUAGGUUUUGAAAAAAAAAGUUCUGCAGUAGAGUUAAUUUUGAUUUAGAGAACUCAUUUUGAUUAAAAUCUAUCAAGCGUUUGAUUGAAUUUAAAUAAAAGUAAUUUUUCUGAAGUGAUUUCGUAAAACUGUUUGGUAAAAUAUUUUUAAUAUUUACAAAUAAUAAUUUUUUACUAAAUUUUAUUUUAAAAUAAUUUAAAUUUUGAAUUUAGAUUUAAAUUUUAGAUUUAAAAAUUUUAAAUUUGCCAAAAAUUUAAAAAAUUUUGAUAUUUUAAUUAAAAAUAUAAGUUUGAAAUUUAAAAUUUUUAAAUUUAAAAUUUGAAUUCUUAAAUUCAAAUUUUAAAACUUAAAUUUAAAUCAAAAUGUAAAAUAUAAGAUUUAAAACAUAAAAUUUGAGAAAUUAAAAUUUAAAAUUUAAAAAAUUUAAAACUUAAAAUUCAAAAUUUAAAAGUCGAAAUUAAAAUUUAAAAUUUGAAUCUAAAAUCCAAAUAAAAAUUUAAAAUUUUGAGUUCAAAAUCAGAAUCAGAUUUCAAGAAGCAAGUUUUAGCUGCUUCUGAUUUUGGGUUUCGAAAAUUAAAAAACUGAUUGUAAAAAUCAAAAUCAAUUUUUAAAAAGAAAAUUACCAAACGCUCUAUUGAGUCGAAAAUCACUUCUGGACCCAAAAUUACUUUUUAGAAGUUAGGCCAAAUACCCACUAUAGUUGAUCCAAUAUAUGUACUUCUAAAUCAGUUUGAGUAUACGGGGCAAUUGAUCUGUACAUAAAGUAGUGAUCUAUACAUUGGUUCUUAGCAUUAGUCUGAUAUUCAUCCUACGUGACAUAUUUACCUUCUCAUUAAUUUGUCAACGCAGAGGAUUGGAACUCAAAACCUUGUAUUAUAAUAGAAGUAUUUAAAAUUAACUCAAGUACUAUAUUAUUUAUAAAAUUGAUCAAAUAAAAAACUGACAAAAAAAUAUAGUUAACACCCGAAACACACAAACCAAAUAGAUUAUCUAUCAAUUUUUUUACAGCACUAGUAAAAGAUAAUAUUUCUCCUUAAUAAUUUUCAAACAUCCCUUCAAAUAUUUUCAAACCUCUAGACUUCGCAAAUAAAAUUUAGAGUUUAAAAAAUAUUUUGAUUGUGAAGCCAUUUCUCAGGGUCAUCUAUCUUAGGCCUACUCUACCUCUGAUACGUCUCUUGAGUUUAGCCACUGUCCAAAAUAUUAUAACGGGAUUAAAAGUUUUAAUCCUAUUAUAUCUUAUAUGUAAAACUAUCUGAUAUAUCACAUUUUCUCCUGCUUUAAGUCCUAACAUUCUUGUCAGGUUUAGACUCAUAAGUAUCAUGCGAUGUGAGACUUGUCUCGCUAGUCUUAACCAAGCUCGCAUCUCCGUAAGACUCGUCCCGUUAGCCUUAACCGACCUUGUGGUAGAGCUGCGCUCUAUCCACAACAGUCAUUAAUAUGAGAGACUCGCUCUUCCCGCUUUAUAAUUAUGAUUCAAAUGAGACUCAACUCACAUUUUUAGUAUAAUUUUGACUCAGCUGAGACUCAUCUCAUAUUUUCAGUAUAAUUCUGACUCAGCCGAUACUCAAAUUACAUUUUCGACUGAUAACUAGCUCUGAUAUCAAUUAUAAUACCCCACUUCUCAAGGGCCACCUAUUUUAUGACUAUUCUAACUCUAGCACGCCUAACUCUCUUAAUUAUUUGGAUCUAAUCAUCGUCUAAAAUACUAUAAUCAGGUUAAAAAUUUUAGCUCUAUUAUAUCUUAUAUAUAGAAUAUAAGGUCUCACAUAAAUGAUUUUAAAAUAAAUUUAAAAAUUUUGAACAAUAGUAAAGGGUAAAUAAGGAAAAGGACAUAAAAUCAUGUCUGGGCUCCUUAUUACUUUGUGCAAGCGUGUUUUGUGGGCAAAAAUUGCAUGGACAUAGUGUCCAAAUUAGCAUCUUUGGGGACGCUCUUGUUGGGCACCACGUGGCUCGCAGACACCCAUCCCACCGUCCCUCUUCCUUCCUCUACUUCUUUCUCUCUAAAAAAAUCAUUUUUUUUAAAAAAAAAGGGACGGUGAGAUGGAUGCUUGCGAGCCACGUGGCGCCUAUUCGAAACAUCCCAAAAAAUGUUAAUGUGGACACUAUAUCCACACAAUUUUUGCCCGCUUCAAAGCAUGGGUCAAAAUAUUAAAUUGACUCAAAGAGAGAGAGAGAGAGAGAGAGAGAGAGAUACAUCACACAUUCACAUGCAGAAAAAUAUAAAAGAAAAACUUCAAAUAUCACUCCUGUAAUUUCGUAUUUACUUACUUAGUAUCUUGUAAUUUAAAGUGUAUCAAGUUAGUGUUAUAUGAUUUCAUUUUUCUCUUUUUAUUAUCCAUUUCACUAAUUUUUUUUCAUUAAACCAGUAACAAAAUUAAAACUAAAGGAUACUAAAAUGAAUAUCGAUAAAGCUAGGUGGAGUAUCCGAAGUUUUUUUUGCAUAUAAUUUAACAAACUAUUAACGGAGGAACUGACGAAAAGAAAAAAAUAAAAUUAGAUGACACUAACUUGAUACACUUUAAACCAUAUGAUACUAAAAUGAGAAAGUGCAAAACUACAGAGGUGAUAUUUAAAAUUUACCCGAAUAUAAAUAUAUUAUUUAAAAUGCAGUUGUUAGUAAAAAGCAAAAUUUGUGGUGGUACUAUUGCAGAUCAAAAGGCUGAACAUGGAAAAGUAUGCAGUAUUCAUAUGCUUCUCAGAUCAGUAAGAUAAAUUUUGGGAGAGUUGGAAGAGAAUAAGAUAAAUUUUGUGUUGUAGUACCUACAAGACGGAUUCGGCUUUCAGCGUGAUCAAAGGCAAAUAGAUCAAAUGUGAAAAUAUGCUUACAUGCUUUUCAAUGGAACUACAAAAAUCAUAUCAUAUCUUUAAAACUGAAUUAGCCUAGAUGUUAUGUAAACUGAACUAUCCUUAACUAACAGGAAAGAUACAUGAAUCAAGCUCAGAACCUCUUAAAACAGAAGGGAAUGAAGAAUGACUCAGAAUACUGUAUUAUCCACCAAAUUAAUAUAUAUAUAUAUAUAUAUAUAUAUAUAUAUAUAUAUAUAUAUAUAUAUAUAUAUAUAUACAUAAUUUAUUUUUAUUUAUUUAUACAAUAUAUAAAAUAUUUAAUAAUUUUUAUUUCAUAGAUCUUCAUCCAACGGUAUAGAUUUUUAAAACCCGCUGGGUUCAGGUUCGGGUUUCGAGUUUUUGGUCGGAUAUGGAUAUGGGUAUGAAUUUUUAAAAUCCGUCGGGUUCGGUUCCGGGUUUGAAUUUUAAUUUGAUUUUCGGGUUCGGGUACGGAUUUUUGAAAAAGAGAAGAAAAGGAAUACAAAUUUCCUAUUCCUCUUUUCAAUAUACAAAAAAUACGUAUUAAACACGGUGAACCAUUCACCGUGUUUAGACACGGUGAAUGGUUCACCAUGUUUAACUUUACUACCGCCCCCAGCCCUACUCGCGUGGUGCUGACGUGGCGCCUGCGUCGCAGGUCUAUGGCCAUUUUUGCAAAUUAAAUUUUGACAGGGCUAUUUUUAAAAUAAAAAUUUGCUAAGGGGCUAAAUGCAAAAAAAGCCCGCUAUUCCUGCUGUCUCCUUUGGAAUCAUUGGUGUGCAAUAAAUUCCUACUGUAAUUACCAUUUUACCGUUUGGCUUAGGUUUUGAAAAAAAAAGUUCUGCAGUAGAGUUAAUUUUGAUUUAGAGAACUCAUUUUGAUUAAAAUCUAUCAAGCGUUUGAUUGAAUUUAAAUAAAAGUAAUUUUUCUGAAGUGAUUUCGUAAAACUGUUUGGUAAAAUAUUUUUAAUAUUUACAAAUAAUAAUUUUUUACUAAAUUUUAUUUUAAAAUAAUUUAAAUUUUGAAUUUAGAUUUAAAUUUUAGAUUUAAAAAUUUUAAAUUUGCCAAAAAUUUAAAAAAUUUUGAUAUUUUAAUUAAAAAUAUAAGUUUGAAAUUUAAAAUUUUUAAAUUUAAAAUUUGAAUUCUUAAAUUCAAAUUUUAAAACUUAAAUUUAAAUCAAAAUGUAAAAUAUAAGAUUUAAAACAUAAAAUUUGAGAAAUUAAAAUUUAAAAUUUAAAAAAUUUAAAACUUAAAAUUCAAAAUUUAAAAGUCGAAAUUAAAAUUUAAAAUUUGAAUCUAAAAUCCAAAUAAAAAUUUAAAAUUUUGAGUUCAAAAUCAGAAUCAGAUUUCAAGAAGCAAGUUUUAGCUGCUUCUGAUUUUGGGUUUCGAAAAUUAGAAAAUUGAUUGUAAAAAUCAAAAUCAAUUUUUAAAAAUAAGAUUACCAAACGCUCUAUUAACUCAAAAAUCACUUCUGAACCCAAAAUCACUUUUCAGAAGUUAGGCCAAAUACCCACUAUAGUUGAUUCCAAUAUAUGUACUUCUAAAUAAGAUUAAGUAUAUGUGGCAAUUGAUCUGUACAUAAAGUAGUGAUUUAUACAUUGGUUCUUAGCAUUAGUCUGAUAUUCAUCCUACGUGACAUAUUUACCUUCUCAUUAAUUUGUCAACGCAGAGGAUUGGAACUCAAAACCCUUGUAUUAUAAUAGAAGUAUUUAAAAUUAACUCAAGUACUAUAUUAUUUAUAAAAUUGAUCAAAUAAAAAACUGACAAAAAAAUAUAGUUAACACCCGAAACACACAAACCAAAUAGAUUAUCUAUCAAUUUUUUUACAGCACUAGUAAAAGAUAAUAUUUCUCCUUAAUAAUUUUCAAACAUCCCUUCAAAUAUUUUCAAACCUCUAGACUUCGCAAAUAAAAUUUAGAGUUUAAAAAAUAUUUUGAUUGUGAAGCCAUUUCUCAGGGUCAUCUAUCUUAGGCCUACUCUACCUCUGAUACGUCUCUUGAGUUUAGCCACUGUCCAAAAUAUUAUAACGGGAUUAAAAGUUUUAAUCCUAUUAUAUCUUAUAUGUAAAACUAUCUGAUAUAUCACAUUUUCUCCUGCUUUAAGUCCUAACAUUCUUGUCAGGUUUAGACUCAUAAGUAUCAUGCGAUGUGAGACUUGUCUCGCUAGUCUUAACCAAGCUCGCAUCUCCGUAAGACUCGUCCCGUUAGCCUUAACCGACCUUGUGGUAGAGCUGCGCUCUAUCCACAACAGUCAUUAAUAUGAGAGACUCGCUCUUCCCGCUUUAUAAUUAUGAUUCAAAUGAGACUCAACUCACAUUUUUAGUAUAAUUUUGACUCAGCUGAGACUCAUCUCAUAUUUUCAGUAUAAUUCUGACUCAGCCGAUACUCAAAUUACAUUUUCGACUGAUAACUAGCUCUGAUAUCAAUUAUAAUACCCCACUUCUCAAGGGCCACCUAUUUUAUGACUAUUCUAACUCUAGCACGCCUAACUCUCUUAAUUAUUUGGAUCUAAUCAUCGUCUAAAAUACUAUAAUCAGGUUAAAAAUUUUAGCUCUAUUAUAUCUUAUAUAUAGAAUAUAAGGUCUCACAUAAAUGAUUUUAAAAUAAAUUUAAAAAUUUUGAACAAUAGUAAAGGGUAAAUAAGGAAAAGGACAUAAAAUCAUGUCUGGGCUCCUUAUUACUUUGUGCAAGCGUGUUUUGUGGGCAAAAAUUGCAUGGACAUAGUGUCCAAAUUAGCAUCUUUGGGGACGCUCUUGUUGGGCACCACGUGGCUCGCAGACACCCAUCCCACCGUCCCUCUUCCUUCCUCUACUUCUUUCUCUCUAAAAAAAUCAUUUUUUUUAAAAAAAAAGGGACGGUGAGAUGGAUGCUUGCGAGCCACGUGGCGCCUAUUCGAAACAUCCCAAAAAAUGUUAAUGUGGACACUAUAUCCACACAAUUUUUGCCCGCUUCAAAGCAUGGGUCAAAAUAUUAAAUUGACUCAAAGAGAGAGAGAGAGAGAGAGAGAGAGAGAUACAUCACACAUUCACAUGCAGAAAAAUAUAAAAGAAAAACUUCAAAUAUCACUCCUGUAAUUUCGUAUUUACUUACUUAGUAUCUUGUAAUUUAAAGUGUAUCAAGUUAGUGUUAUAUGAUUUCAUUUUUCUCUUUUUAUUAUCCAUUUCACUAAUUUUUUUUCAUUAAACCAGUAACAAAAUUAAAACUAAAGGAUACNAUAGUAGGAAGAGCAUUACAUGCUCAAAAAGUAUACCUUGGCAAUUUGCUUAACAUUUAUCACAUAUUUAGCAUCUUCUGUGUUCGGGCUAAUAAUCUUCGUACACCUAGCAACCUUUUGAUGAAACAACAAUCUAGUCAGACACCAAACAUAUGUAAGAUGUAAAACAAGUUCACUAAUAAACUCCCAGAUAUCACAGAAUAAAACAAGCAAGAAUACCUAAAAUUCAUGCAAAUUUGAGACAAAAAUACCUGCAGAGGUUGUUCCUCUUGCAUCAUUUGCUUGUCAGAAACUAAAUCCCACUGGCUAGGUGCAGCUAAACCAGUGUCUGACUCUUUGAUUCCUGACAUUUCAUAACAAAAAACGUCUCAAAGGUUCCAAGAAUAUAAUAGCAACAUAAUUUGAUAACAAAAACUACCUAUCACUACAUUAUGCUAGUUUAAAUAAGCUGUGGAAUCAACUUAUUCCAAAUACUCUUUCAGAAAUCUAAAGAAAACAAAGAAAGCAUUUUAUAUCUAAAUUAGCUCUUCAUGAGUAACGACAACUGAAUCCAGCAACAAAAGACACCACCUUAAAAAGCACAUAUCUAUUUCAAGCAUCUUACUAUGUAUCCAUUCGUAAUGUCCAUUGUAUGCUUGAUUUUGCUACAUAAUAGAAUUGGACUAUAAUAACAUAAACUCAAUUCUUUAUGGAACUAUAACUUAAAACAUCAAUAAUAUGCAUCAGCUGCUUAAGUACACAAAACUUUCAAAAGAAUCAUUCUUUACUUAUCACUUGAGAAAGUAGAGUCGCAUUAUUUCAUUACAAGAAAAAAAUAAGCAAAACAAGCUCCAGUUUACAUAUUUAUACAUCCAUUUCUUCGUAUGUACACAUAUUUAGGCAUAUGAUGAUAUUAACACACUACUUACCACAUAGAUCAUUGAUCUUCUUCACCAUCUCCUUAAUCUCCUUCUCUGCCUUCUUUAUGCUCUCAGAAUAAGGUCCCAGACCCUGCCAUAUCACACAAUUCUCAUUUUAUCAUCAUAAAUGCACUUAAACAAAAAUAAGAGGAACAUCAAAUAGUUUCCACACAAACCCUUAUUAUACAAUCGAUCCAAACAACAAAGGUAUUAAUAAAUCACCACACUAGAUCGCGUUCACCAACAAUAAACCUAGAUCUAGCGGAAUCUGAUGCGCAAACAAAGUAACCUAACCUAGCCCUAAAUCGAGGCGAACCAAAGAAGCGAAGAGAUUAGGGGAUGCGUACGUAGGUUUUGAGGAGGGCGAUGUCGUCCUCGUCGAGGGGGCGCGGGUUCUUCUCGUUCAACUCGUCGUCGGCCUCCGGAGCCAUGGCGAGGUCGAGGGGAGGUAGCGAAAGUGGCGAUCCCUCUGCAGGCUCGAGGGGUAACAGUGAUUCAGCCGUGCGCCUUGUUGCUGAAGAAACCUGAGAGGGUUUUUUAGUGAAAUAGUUUCUUUUAAAAUUUUAUUCUUAAAAUAUACCUUUUAAAUUUUUAUUUAUAAAUAUAAUCCUAUAAAAACGGUAAAUGGUUCACCGCUAGAUCUGGCAAUCUCCAUCCAUAUCCGCGAGUGCUCGUGGGUUACCCACAAAUUUACGGGUAUGGGUACCAACUUUUCAAACCUAAAAAAUUACAGGUAAAACGGGUGGGUACCCAUUAAACUGUGGGUAUUUUGGAUAACCCGCGGGUACCCACGAGUACCCGCACAUAUAUUUUUUAAUUAAAAAAUAUAUAUUUUAAUUAAAAUACAUAUAUUUUUAUUUAUCCAUCCUAAAAAUUCUAACCCUAAUUUCUUAUCGCGUCUUUUAUAUUACGAAUUUUUUUUGCUUUAAAACUUUAAAUAUUUUUAUUGUAUACAAUGAUAUUUUAAAUAAUGAAUUAUGUUAUAUAUAUAUAUAUAUAUAUAUAUAUAUAUAUAUAUAUAUAUAUAUAUAUACUAGUUAUAGUGCACGUGCAAUGCACGUAACAUUUAAUUAAAUUAAAUUUAUAUUUAUAUUUAAAAUUUAAGUAAUUAUUCGUGGUAUAAAUUUAUUUAUCAAUUAAUUUUUUUCUAACAUUAAUUUUUUUAAUGUGUAUCCAAAUUUUAAAAAUUUGAAGUAAUUAUAAAUUUUAAAUUAAUAAAUUUAGAUUUAAAUUUAUGAAUAAAACUCAAAUUUUGAAAUUAAUUUUGAAUCCAUUAUUUCAAUAUAAAUAAUUAUUAAAGACAUUAAUUUAUUUAUCAUCCCAUCUAUUUUUCAAAAUUGAUAUAUUUUCAGUUAAUUAAUUAUUUUCAGUUGAAUACUGUUUACACACCCAAAAUAUUGAAAUUUAAUUAAUUUCAAAUUUUAAAUUAAAAUAUUUAUUCACAUUUGAAAUUUUGAACCAAAUAUAAAAUUUAAAGUUGAUUUGAUGAGCUUAUUUAAAUCGUUUUAUUUUUCAAACCUAAUUUUUUUUUAAUUAGCUAAUUGAAGAUAGUAGAUACAAAAUAUUUUCAUGUUUGUUGCUAUAAAGAUUUUUGGUUUUUUGAAAGUAUGGAAUAUUAUUUUAUGGGGCGCGUUGUGAAAAAUAUUUUACAACAAAUAUCUUCGGUUGGACAAAAAUUUGGAUAAGUAUAAAUUUCUUUCUAUUCUCGCAAAUGAAAUGCAAUACUUUUUCCGACUAAAAAAGGUUUGUCUGUGUCAACAAUUAUUUUAAUAAUUAUCUCAAAUCAAUAUCAAUUUGUGAAUCAUAUUUAUCUACAAAUUUAAAUUUUUAAAUUGUAAAUUUAUAUGUUAUAUUUUAUUGAAAAAAUAUCUCAUAUUUCAAAUAUUAAUAGGUAAAAUUGAGAUAAUUUUUAUAUAUUCACCUUUUAAAAAAUAUGAUUAAAUAUUAUAUAUGCGGAAGGUAUUAUGUGAUUGGAUAUUAUAUAGGUGGCGGAUAUUAUGUGUAAGAAAUAAAAUAUUUAGAAAUGCGAAUAUUAUUUGUUAUAAAAUAUGAUAUUAUGUGGGCGGCAGUUAUUAGAAGAUAUGACAUGCAUAUAAAAAGUGAAAUUUCAUACAUACUAUUUGAAGGCAAUUUGGGUAAAAAAAGUGACAGAUACUUAAUUCGUCAGUCAUUGGAUUAGAUCUAAUGACUAAGAAUUAAUAUAUUUUAUGAUAAUUUAAAAAUAAAAUAAAAAUUGUACGACUGUGAUUUAUUCCAUUAAAGUUGAAUGAAUGAUAUUAUUAGUAUGUGAUUGGAAUUAUAUUAAUAGGGGCCGGCAUUUUGGGAAAUAGGAAAAAAUUCAAAAUUCACGUUUUUAUUAGUGUGUGUGUGUGUAUAUAUAUAUAUAUAUAUAUAUAUAUAUAUAUAUAUAUAUAUAUAUAUGUAUUUGCACUUAACCAUUCAUAAUAUAAGUUAUCCCUGCUAACAUGUUGCCCGCGGGUUACCCAACCCGUCCGUUUGCCAGGUCUAAUCACCGCUAACCAUUCACCGAUUUCUUUCUUUUUUUACUUCUUUCUAUAUUUCUACGAUGAUAAAAAUGGUGAAUGGUUCACCGUUUUUAUUCUUUUUCUACUUCUAUAAAGGAGUUAUGAAUGCGGUGAAUCAUUCACCGCAUUUAGAGGUCUAUUUUUAUAAUUAUUUAAAAAAAAAAACUAUUUUUACAAUUAUAAAAUUGAUAGGAUUAUUUAUAAAAAAAAUUCAACCUGAGAGGUGAAUUGUGAAUUUGUGAGGGGGGUGAGUGCAAAAUUACAAAAUAAGUAGACUUCUUAUUCACGGCAACAUGUUAUGGUGGUCAGACAAAUUUUAGUCCGACACGCCUAGAUCGAUGCCACGUGUCAACAGAAUGCGAUAGUGUAGAGUAGGACGAUUUGUGAUUUGGCGCCUGUAUGUGAGUGACACGUGUCACCUGAUUCUUGAACUUUUGAGAUCUAAAUUCUAUCCAUUUUCUCCUCUUUUAAUACAAAAUUUUUUUUUGAUUGGGUAUGUAACUUAUUAUUAUCAUUAUAUUUAUACGAAUCUAAUGUGAUUAGAUGAACUUCUUAAAAAAAAAAAAGAAAAGGGUUAAUUGCAUACACGUCCCUGCAAAUAUGGUGAAUUGCAGAUAUAUUCCUGCAAAGCUCAACUUUCACAAGUUAUCCCUGUAAAAGUCCUAAUAUAUUCAGAUAUGUCCUUGCCGUUAGUUUCCGUUAGAGAAAUUUCGUUAACCACAGUUAAAAUACUUAACCAUGGUUAAUUAAUAAGUUGAAUUGACAAUUUUACCCCCUCUUCUUCCUCUCCCUCUUUCGCUUCCCUCUUCUUCGUUGCCGGCGAGGGAGGAGAUGCGGUGGGCGAUCGCGACAGAGAAGGAGGAGCCGCGGUCGCGGAGAAAGCCGCUGACGGCGACCUCCGCCGCCUCCUCUCCGCCGUACCUUCCUGCUGCCGCCGCGUGAUGCUUCCACGGCCGGUGGUGCGCCGUCGCCGCAGCCGCCUCCCGCCUCUCCUCCACCAUCGGUGGCCUCUCCAACCUCGCCGCAAACCCCCUCGCCUGUGAGCUCCUCCGGUCCCUCCAGGAAACCCUAGUGCUAGCCCUUGCCAUCGUGGAGCAGUGCCGCUCCCCCGACCUCCCCACAGGGAAGCUCCGCACGCAGAGCGACCUCGCCGCCGCCUCCGACGCCCUCAAGCAACUCGCCGCCAACACCAACCUCCUCCUCGUGGGAGAUUGGGCGGUGCUCCCGUGGGCCAUCCCCAGUGGCGCCGCCGGCCGACAACGGCCUCCACCGCCUUCUUCUUCUUCUUCUUCUUCGUAUCCUCCUCUUCUCCUCGUUUUUCUUCUUUGUUGUCAUCGUCGAUGAUCCGCCACCGCCGCCGUCCACUCCCGCAACCCGAAGAGGAAGAGAAAGAGGAAGAGGGCAAAAAUUAAGAGCACACUUCUGCAAAUGUGCUUUUGGAGGGACAUAUUUGUGAGGGCAAAAUUAUCAUUUCACGAGUAUACUGUUAAAAAAUUAACAGUUUUCUAACGGAUCCUAACCAGAGGGAUAUAUCUGAAUAAAUUAGGACUUUUGCAAGGACAACUUAUGAAAUUUGAGCUUUGCAGGGAUAUAUUUGUAAUUCACCAUGUUUGUAGGGACGUGUAUGCAAUUAACCAAAAAAGAAAAAAACUUCAAAUACCACCCAUGUGGUUUCACACUUUUUCAUUUUAGUAUCCUAUGGUUUAAAGUGUAUCAAUUUAGUGUCCUAUGAUUUUAUUUGUAUCUUUUUAUUAUCAAUUCCACUAAUUUUUUUUGUUAAAUUAGUGACGAAGUUAAAACUAAAGGGUACUAAAGUGAAUAUUCGAUAAACCUAGGUGGAUAUCUAAAGUUUUUUUUGUAUACAAUUUAAUGAAAUAUUAACGAAGAAGCUGACGAAAAGAUAAAAAUGAAACCACAUGACACUAGCUGGCGAUACACUUUAAUCCACAUAGUACUAAAGUGAGAAAGUGCAAAACCACAGGGAUGGUUUUUAAGUUUACCCAAAAAAAAAGAAAACAACAACAACAACAACAACAACAACAACAACAACAACCCAGGUUCAUUUACAUCAAUUCCGAAAACAAAAAUGGAAUAGCAAUAUUUCAAUCAAAACCAUCAAAAGUACAGCACACACAAUCUGCAAAUUCUGAAACAAACUUUAAAUGCUUCAAAGGCAGUGAAAAGCAACAAUUUCGCAUUUAAGAUAUAUUAACAAUAAAUUAGAAGAAAUAAGAUUACAUGAAUAUCAAGGUCUUGCUUGUCCUCAAAAAUAUCAAAAACUUUCUCACUAAAACUGGAAUAGGUUCUACAAAAUGUCUAUUAAUAUGUUCCUCCUUACAAAAUACAACAGACAUUAUUCCUACUGGUUAUACAAAUAAGACAGAUACACAUGGAAUUACAUCAGAGAUGCCGCUGCCUCGGGAUAAGUUUCAAGUUUCUUAACAUUAAAGCAUUAGAUAUAUAUAUAUAGCAAAAGUAGUUUGUAGAAAAUGUUGCAGAACGAAUUUGAAGCACGAGUUCAAAAUUUUGUGUCAGUUGAUUCAAUUGAACGUAAUUGCCGACUUCUUUAGGGUUACUAGGUAACCAUAAGCUAUUGGUUGUUAUGCCAAGCGACGACAUCCUCGUAUGGUAGAUUGCCCCCAAAUAUAUUGAGAGAACUUCCAACUGUAAUAUCAACGCGGCCCUUUCCAUUGUUGAGACUCCACUAGCAUAAGUUAUCGGAAUCUACAAUGUGAAAAUAUUGAGCUAUAAGUAUAAGGAGUUUUUUAUCGACAUCCGCUGAUCAUAUUGAGUACAAACAAAGUUAAAUCUCUUUCAUGCUCAAAACAAAUUAAUAUAUACUGCAAAACAGGAGUACUAAUUUUAUAAAGAGGCAAUGUAAAGUUGAGUUCAUCAGUGAUGCAAUGUUGCAUUUGAGGUUGGGCCAAAAGACACUACACCUGUAAAGUACUAGAUUUUAGAAACACAAAAGCUAAUAUUAAAAAUGAAAGUAUACAAUAAUUAGCGUCUUUAAUGAAGGCCUGUAGUGACAAAUUAGCAAAACCAGAGCUCUUUCUUGGGUCAGGGGAAAUAAGUCAUAAACAUGUGGAAAAAACUGAAUAACAGAAAGUAAGGUAUUACAUACAUGUGAGUAGCAUCCAAGCAUGGUCACAAGCUCCUCAUCAAUUCCUAGCAUGUCGUAGCACCAAGAACAUUAAUUAGAAACAGAGAAAAUAUAGUCACCGAAUAAGUUCUUAUUGGAGCCUAUAUUUGACCGAGUCCAUCAGAAUACUAAAAUGCUAACCAUUCGCAAUGUGAUAGAGGUGAAAGAAAAAACCAGUGAUAUAUUACGAAAAACCAAAUGGUAUGCCAAAGGUAGAGUAGUAAGAAGCUCUGAGUUGCUUUAAAAAGAAUUUAGUAGAAAUACUAUAGAGUAAGCCACCUUUUCCCCUCCACAACAACUCCAUGAACCAAAAACUCAUCUGCAUAGGUUGCAAGAAAUUCCAAUGUCUACUCUUCUAGAAUGACAUCACCGAAUUUCUACCAUCUGUCAUUAACAAUGGUGUAUUUACCAUUCUGCACCAAAAUCAUAAAUUCUACAAUCAAAUAAUACUACCAUUGAAAAGAAACAAAAUCUGCUAUCAACUCGGUAUGCACAAAAAAGAAGUCUAAUUGUAGAUGUCAAUAGCAUGUAGCUAGAGGAUGAAAUAAGUGAAUAAGUAAAACCAACAAAAUUAAGGAAAUUUCUUGUACCUUCUGUUGGAGGAAAAUUCAAAAUCCCUUAAUCAUUAUUAUUACUAUUCAAUUUUCUUAAUUAUUAUUAUUAUUAUUUUAUUCUUUAUUUAUUAAUUCUUUUAUUCUCUUUUAUCAAUAUUUUUAUUAUUAUUUAUUAUUUUAAUUAAUAGGUGGAAACGUAUGGAAUUAAAUGGGAUUAAUGAGUAGAACGUUGGGGGGCCUCCAACGAUCCAUUUACAUCCCAUUUAUACUGCCUCCUGUCUACUGUUCAUUACAGUAGAACAUGAUAGAGAGAAAUUUUGGAGAGUUAUAUAUUUUCUUUUAUAGUUUUGAUUUACUUGGUUUUUCAUUCUUUUAUCGUCGGGUGUUGAAAGAGUCUCCAUCAACCUCUUCCGCGUUCGUGCUCGUAGGAGGAGGAAUUCCGGUCAUACCUUGGGGCGGUGUUUCCGGUUAAUCCCGCACGUAAGGACGGGAAUACGCCUUAGGGUAGUGCCUCGCAUGCUUCCGGAUCAAUUAAAUAUUUAUUUGGAUUUAGCGAUCAUUUGUAAGUUGAUUUAUUUAUUUUCAUAAUAAAAUUUAGUUAGAACUUUAACCGCAAUCAGAUUUAUGUGCGGUAAUUGUUCCAACAAUCUAAGGCGUAUUCCUAUCUGAUUGUGGUUAAAUCUGACUGUGCUAAUCCAUUAAAAUCUAUACAUAUAUACAUUGUAGAUAAUUUAUUUGAUAACUUGCUUGUAUGAUUGACAUAUAAUAUUAAUUUAAGUUGGGAUUAGCAUUUUCAAAUUUUUAAUUGCAUAUAGUUUGCUUGUAAUUUUUUAUUUGUCUUCUACUGUUAUUUAGUAUUAAAAAAAAAAUGUUGCAGUGUUUUUAGAUCUCUUGUGUACGGAGGUUGGUUUGAAUCUUGCUACAGUAAAUUAUUUUUAAGUGUAUAGCUUUUAAAGUUUAAUUUAUGUACAUAAUAUUUUCAAAUAUAUAUAUAUAUAUAUAUAUUUUACUGUUUUGAUAAUAAAAAAAAAAAGAAAAGGAGGUUUUUGUUACAGUAAAACAAUUUUAGCGUGUACGGAUUUUCUUAAAGCUUAAUUUUAUAUACAUAUUAUUUUUCAAGAAAAAAAAAAGGAAAAAAUUCUGCUGCAAAAUUAAUUUUAAACAAUUUUGCUCUAAGUGGGAUUUCAACCCACAAUUUCUAAAAGCACGGUUUUUAAGCGAGAUCACCUAACAAGCAGCACUAAUACUAUUGCAUUUUUUCUAUUGUUACUGCCGUUGUAAACUCUAUUUGUUGGAUUUAAUAUCACAACUAUCUAACUUCUCAGCACGACUGAGUAUACAACAGCUAUCACAUAUUUACUGUGAUAAUUUUGCUGAUUGUAUUUAAUAUUUUUAUACAUUGCUUGCAAUAUAUUGUUUGCAAAUAAAUUACCUAAUUAAAAUCAAAAAUUUUAAAAUUGUUUCUGCAAUCUAUUUGUUGUUGAACCGAAUUUUGUUAAAUAUGAUUAAAUUUUAUAAUUUUUAAAUUUUUAGUAUAUCUCUGUAAUUAUGGGGGAAGUUCUUUUAUUAGUUUGAUAAAUUUUGAUAUUAUGAUUGCUCUACCGAUUUCAUUUUUUUUGUGAUCUUAACGUUUAGCUUAUAAAUGAAAUUGGUAAGUGGUAAAUUCUAAAAUUAUCCGACAUACUAAGUUGAGAAAAAAAAAAUUUAUUAGAUGGCUAACCUCUUAUAAUAUUUUUUUGAGUUUUAUCAUAUCUAAUCAGAAUCUUGCAGAUUGCUUGACGAAAGACCUGAAGAGGACUAUGGUCCUACUGUCAUCGAGGGGGAUGGGAUUUUGCCCGUAAAGGGCCUUCCUGCAGUGGGAAUCCAACCUUUGUGAUAGGAGAUCCCUUGAAGAAGGUUCAAUAUGGUAAAAACAAGCUGUUAGGUUGGCCAAAGAGCACUUUCUACAAAUUUUAUAUAGGAGCUUUAGCUCCAAUCCCAUCCCUAUGGUGAGUGGUGCUCUGUGUAGUGGAUUAGGUUGAGCUGAGAGCUCUUAAUGGGAUCCAAGGCGAUAAUUUUCGCGAGAUGUGACUCUACACACAUCUCUGGAGGAAACCACCUAUAUAAGAGUAUCCGUAUAUGGCCGCGGCUAUGUGAAUGGGCUAUACAUAUGAACUCUUAUGAAAAAUUAAGGUACUGUGCAUGGCCAUUUACGCACAGACCCACGACGGAGAAUUCUGUACUGUGUGUGUGAUAGUUGAAGUCAGGGACAAAGGAACGUAGUUCAAGACCUGGUUCACUCCGAUUCCUUCUGAUGGAAACUAUUUACACUAAGUGAGGUUAAGUCCUUAAAGACACCUUACCUAUUGCAUAGUAUAAACACUCGGUGAUUUAUUUAUUUAUUAGUUUUGUUUUCGAGUUUAAUUCCUAUUUCGAAAUUUUGAAUUUUGUGGGGGAUUGUUGGAGGAAAAUUCAAAAUCCCUUAAUCAUUAUUAUUACUAUUCAAUUUUCUUAAUUAUUAUUAUUAUUAUUUUAUUCUUUAUUUAUUAAUUCUUUUAUUCUCUUUUAUCAAUAUUUUUAUUAUUAUUUAUUAUUUUAAUUAAUAGGUGGAAACGUAUGGAAUUAAAUGGGAUUAAUGAGUAGAACGUUGGGGGGCCUCCAACGACCAUUUACAUCCCAUUUAUACUGCCUCCUGUCUACUGUUCAUUACAGUAGAACAUAGUAGAGAGAAAUUUUGGAGAGUUAUAUAUUUUCUUUUAUAGUUUUGAUUUACUUGGUUUUCAUUCUUUUAUCGUCGGGUGUUGAAAGAGUCUCCGUCAACCUCUUCCGCGUUCGUGCUCGUAGGAGGAGGAAUUCCGGUCGUACCUUGGGGCGGUGUUUCCGAUUAAUCCCGCACGUAAGGACGGGAAUACGCCUUAGGGCAAUGCCUCGCACGCUUCCGGAUCAAUUAAAUAUUUAUUUGGAUUUAGCGAUCAUCUGUAAGUUGAUUUAUUUAUUUUCAUAAUAAAAUUUAGUUAGAACUUUAAUCGCAAUCAGAUUUAUGUGCGGUAAUUGUUCCAACACCUUCUUUCUACAACUAGGAUCCAAGACAAGCCUUUGCUUUUCAAUUAUACCAAUAAGAUGUUUAAGCCGUUCAAGGUUCAUUUGUCCAUUACAGAAAAUGUAGUGCAAGACAAAUAUUUUAAUAGUUACUAUGAACUCAAUAGAAAAGAUUAGCUUUGAAUUGACAUAUGAACUUACUAUAUAUUAGUGGCGGGUAAAGCAUUAAAAAUGUGUAGAAAACCUGUGUUUCCCGAGUAAUGUGUUUUACACUUUGAAAUGGAAGGACUCGUGAGAUUAACAUUAAUACAUUGGCUUUCAUUAGAACCUUGGAAUUUUAAGUUCUUCUAAGCUUGCAACUACAUAUUGAAAAAAAAUUCAAUUAUGAAACUACUUGUUAUGUGAAAGUUAUUGAGUACAGGAGAGAAGUGUACAAAACAAUGAUUAUGAUCAUUACAAAGAUUGAUAUAAGCAAAUACAAACCAAAAGUAUUUUGUGUACAAUAAAAAAAUAGGGACAUAAGAUAAUUAUGCUGCUGCUCAAUCAGGCAAACAAUGUCUGUGAAAUAAAUAAAUCACGUACUGAUGUAACAAUCACGUGACUUGUACCUUUGUUGAUAUAAGUCAUGGCAUUGUCCGAAUUGAUCCCACCUCCAAGUUGCAUGCCAUCUAAAGUCAAGACAAUUUACGUUCAUAUGGGCAUGGAAUUAAGCAGACAAAGCUACCACUCCAAGCAAAAAAAGUGCUAGAGAAAGUACAUCAAAACUAUUAAGAGCAUCAUUAUAACAUUAUUUUACCACGGAUAUACAAAAAUCAUAGGCUAUGACAGAGCAGCAUAAUGGAAAAGGUUACCAUCAUUGUAGGGUCUAGGAGGAGCAGCCUAUAGUUGUCUCUAGGGAGGUCGUUUGCAUGAUUCGAAUCCACAAAGCCGAGAAAGAAAGGAUGGCCACAGGAAAAUAAUAAAAUAGAAUAAAAUUAUCCUACUCCUACUACAAAAAGCUUCUUAAUGCUGGAAAUAGUAGCUUGUUCGACUAAACGAAUUAGGUCUUCGUGUCAUUUGCACAGUAACAAUCCACUGAGGCUCCAAUUUCUGCACAUAGUCAGAAUUCUGACAAACUACAAUCUAUUACAUCUUUAAUCCGAAUUGAGUACAUUCUCCCAAAAAAAAUCCUACUAUUUUUUUUUUGAAAUAAUUUAAGACCUAUUUUGAGUCAUUGACGAAGAAUUGGAUGACCGGACUAGUCAAGGCGAGCAUAUUUUUCUACGAAUAUUCUUCAAGACCAACAACUGUUUUUUUUUUUAUAAUAUAUUUUGACUAAUGAAGUGAAUGAGCAAGGAAAUACAAGUCAAAUGAACUGUGUAGGAAAGGACCUUUUACUUU
rnacentral:lncRNA from 1 species